UUCCGGUUGAUCCCGCCGGACCUGACUGCUAUCGGAUUGAUACUAAGCCAUGCGAGUCUUUGUAGUAAUACAAGGCAGACGGCUCAGUAACACGUAGUCAACCUACCCUAUGGACAAGAAUAAUCUCGGGAAACUGGGCAUAAUUCUUGAUAGAUCAUAAUGCCUGGAAUGGUUUAUGGUUAAAAUGAUUCGUCGCCAUAGGAUGGGACUGCGGCCUAUCAGCUUGUUGGUGAGGUAAUGGCCCACCAAGGCGAUUACAGGUACGGGCUCUGAGAGGAGAAGCCCGGAGAUGGGUACUGAGACACGGACCCAGGCCCUAUGGGGCGCAGCAGGCGAGAAAACUUUGCAAUGUGCGAAAGCACGACAAGGUUAAUCCGAGUGAUUUCUGCUAAAGAAAUCUUUUGCCAGUCAUAAAACCACUGGUGAAUAAGGGGUGGGCAAGUUCUGGUGUCAGCCGCCGCGGUAAAACCAGCACCUCAAGUGGUCAGGAUGAUUAUUGGGCCUAAAGCAUCCGUAGCCGGCUUUGUUAGUUUUCGGUUAAAUCCAUGUGCUCAACGCAUGGGCUGCCGAAAAUACUGCAUGGCUAGGGAGUGGGAGAGGUAGACGGUACUCAGUAGGAAGGGGUAAAAUCCUUUGAUCUAUUGAUGACCACCUGUGGCGAAGGCGGUCUACCAGAACACGUUCGACGGUGAGGGAUGAAAGCUGGGGGAGCAAACCGGAUUAGAUACCCGGGUAGUCCCAGCUGUAACGAUGCAGACUCGAUGAUGCAUUGGCAUAAUAGCCAGUGCAGUGUCGCAGGGAAGCCGUUAAGUCUGCCGCCUGGGAAGUACGUACGCAAGUAUGAAACUUAAAGGAAUUGGCGGGGGAGCACCACAAGGGGUGAAGCCUGCGGUUCAAUUGGAUUCAACGCCGG
rnacentral:rRNA from 1 species